CCGGCAAGCAACGAAGACCAGAUGAAAUGCUGCUUGAAGGGCUGGCAUAUCUAGAAUUGGUGGUAGAAAUAUCUUUGCUUAAAAGUUUGCUCAAGAAACACCAUGCAUAUUUGACAUCAUAAGGAAAGAAAUGAGCAGAACCAUACAUCCAACUUACAUUGCAAUUACGGCAGAGGAAGAGAGAUGGAGAAGUUAAAAUGAAACAUUUCAAGGAUGAAUGGGCACUGAAAAUUGGUAAAGUGGCAGAAAAGUCCAAGCUUGAAGAAUGAAAAAGUAAAUGUAUGGAGAAAAAGGAGUUUGGAAAACAGGAAAAAAAAAAGAUAUUUUGCAGAAACAUCUGUUUGCUGUUGCUAAAAAUUUUAGCAUUUAAAUGUUCUCAUUUGGGCUCUGAAGUUAGCACUUCCUUGAAGUAGUUCACACCUUUGCUAUUGCUCCUGUUCAGCUACAGAUCAUUUUAUGCAAGGCUGAUUUUAACAAGAAAAUGGUGCAUUAAUUUA
rnacentral:lncRNA from 1 species